rnacentral:rRNA from 1 species
CCUACGGGAGGCAGCAGUGGGGAAUCUUGCGCAAUGGGCGAAAGCCUGACGCAGCAACGCCGCGUGCGGGAAGAAGGCCUUCGGGUUGUAAACCGCUUUCAGAAGGAACGAAAAUGACGGUACUUUCAGAAGAAGGUGCGGCCAACUACGUGCCAGCAGCCGCGGUGACACGUAGGCACCAAGCGUUGUCCGGAUUUAUUGGGCGUAAAGAGCUCGUAGGCGGUUCGGUAAGUCGGGUGUGAAAACUUUGGGCUCAACCCAAAGCGUGCACUCGAUACUGCCGUGACUAGAGUUCGGUAGGGGAGCGGGGAAUUCCUAGUGUAGCGGUGAAAUGCGCAGAUAUUAGGAGGAACACCGGUGGCGAAGGCGCCGCUCUGGGCCGAAACUGACGCUGAGGAGCGAAAGCGUGGGUAGCAAACAGGAUUAGAUACCCUGGUAGUCCACGCCGUAAACGUUGGGCACUAGGUGUGGGUCUCAACCAACGAGAUCCGCGCCGUCGCAAACGCAUUAAGUGCCCCGCCUGGGGAGUACGGCCGCAAGGUUAAAACUCAAAGGAAUUGACGG